AAGAGGGGGCAACUCCUCGAGUAGAGUGGCGAACGGGUGAGUAACGCGUGAGAAACCUGCCUUCGACAGGGGGAUAACACUCCUAACGGGGUGCUAAUACCGCAUGACACCACGGAGUCGCAUGGCUCUGAGGUCAAAUCGUGGCCUCUAUUUAUCAGCUACCGGUCGGAGAUGGUCUCGCGUCCCAUCAGCUAGUUGGCGGUGUAAAUGUCCACCAAGGCGACGAUGCGUAGCUGGUCUGAGAGGAUGGUCAGCCACACUGGGACUGAGAUACGGCCCAGACUCCUACGGGAGGCAGCAGUAGAGAGGGUUAGUCAAUGGGGGAAACCCUGACCGAGUGACGCCGCGUGAGGGAUGAAGGCCCUUGGGUUGUAAACCUCUCUUGUUCGGGUAGAAAUGCGAUCAGGUGAACAAUCUGGUCGUUUGACGGUACCGGACGAAUAAGAUCCGGAUAACUCCGUGCCAGCAGCCGGGGUAACACGGUGGGAGCAUGCGUCAUUGGGAAUCACUGGGCGUAAAGGGCGUGUAGGCGGUCAGGUAACUGGGAUGUGAAAUGCCCCGGCUCACCCGGAGACCGGCAUCCCAAACUGCCUGGCUUGAGUAUGUGAGAGGAUGAGGGAAUUCCUGGUGUAGCGGUGAAAUGAUUAGAUAUCAGGAGGAACACCGGUGGGGAAGGCGUUCAUCUGGCCCAAUAAUGUCGCUGAUGUGCGAAAGCUAGGGGAGCAAACGGGAUUAGAUACCCCCGUAGUCCUAGCCGUAAACGGUGAUCAUUAGGUGUUGGAGGCAACGACCCCUCCAGUGCCGCAGCUAACGCAUU
rnacentral:rRNA from 1 species